UUUAAGUUUUGAUUUUUAUAUUUGUUUUAUUUUUUCUAAUUUUCUUUUUAUUUUCCUUUAAUUUCAGUUCUGUAUCAUUAUUUGACAGCUAUGUGGAAAAUAUGAUAUACAGGAUUGACUGCGCGCACUUUGGAUUAAUUGUUGCUAGAAAUUGACAGAAUCACAACUAACCUAUUUUCUCUGUUUUUCUAGAUUGUGCUCGGCAGAUUUGAGUCGCAAGGAGAACACAGCUCCGCCCCCCUCGCUGGCCACCGCCGAGAUCCAACGCGGUCUCCAGCGCAGCAUUCUCAAUGUGAAGCGCGAUGAGCAGAAAUUGCAAUUGCCCGGUUCGCGUCGCAAGC